rnacentral:rRNA from 1 species
UCCUACGGGAGGCAGCAGUGGGGAAUAUUGCACAAUGGGCGCAAGCCUGAUGCAGCGACGCCGCGUGAGGGAUGACGGCCUUCGGGUUGUAAACCUCUUUCAGUAGGGAAGAAGCGAAAGUGACGGUACCUGCAGAAGAAGCGCCGGCUAACUACGUGCCAGCAGCCGCGGUAAUACGUAGGGCGCAAGCGUUAUCCGGAAUUAUUGGGCGUAAAGAGCUCGUAGGCGGUUUGUCGCGUCUGCCGUGAAAGUCCGGGGCUCAACUCCGGAUCUGCGGUGGGUACGGGCAGACUAGAGUGAUGUAGGGGAGACUGGAAUUCCUGGUGUAGCGGUGAAAUGCGCAGAUAUCAGGAGGAACACCGAUGGCGAAGGCAGGUCUCUGGGCAUUAACUGACGCUGAGGAGCGAAAGCAUGGGGAGCGAACAGGAUUAGAUACCCUGGUAGUCCAUGCCGUAAACGUUGGGCACUAGGUGUGGGGGACAUUCCACGUUUUCCGCGCCGUAGCUAACGCAUUAAGUGCCCCGCCUGGGGAGUACGGCCGCAAGGUUGAGACUCAAAGGAAUUAACGGGGGCCCGCACAAGCGGCGGAGCAUGCGGAUUAAUUCGAUGCAACGCGAAGAACCUUACCAAGGCUUGACAUGGACCGGUAACACCUGGAAACAGGUGCCCCGCUUGCGGCCGGUUCACAGGAGGUGCAUGGUUGUCGUCAGCUCGUGUCGUGAGAUGUUGGGUUAAGUCCCGCAACGAGCGCAACCCUCGUUCCAUGUUGCCAGCGCGUAAUGGCGGGGACUCAUGGGAGACUGCCGGGGUCAACUCGGAGGAAGGUGGGGACGACGUCAAAUCAUCAUGCCCCUUAUGUCUUGGGCUUCACGCAUGCUACAAUGGCCGGUACAAAGGGUUGCGAUACUGUGAGGUGGAGCUAAUCCCAAAAAGCCGGUCCCAGUUCGGAUUGGGGUCUGCAACUCGACCCCAUGAAGUCGGAGUCGCUAGUAAUCGCAGAUCAGCAACGCUGCGGUGAAUACGUUCCCGGGCCUUGUACACACCG